CAGAAAUCCCGUUUUCAGCCACCUCAUCGGGCCUGCCAUUGUCGGGGCUGCCAGUGGCCCAGAGGGUGUGCGCCCUCCUGACCUGUGGGAAGGCAGGGUGUGGAGAGCCUCAUUAUGCCUGUUUUCACUAUCCAAUUCUAGCACAUUUCCAGACUACGAGAUUCAGUGCCAACAUGUCUUUCAACACCCAAGUGGUUAUCAACGAAGGUGAGGUUUUCCGUGAAGAGCAAAGGACCAUCCCGACUUUGGAGAGGCAGGGGAGUGCUCUGAGGCAGAGAUGAUGAAGGUGACAUUUUCCCGUAUGGUUACCAACACCUUGGGGACCUCUCGCCUUUCUUGAGACCCAGGGCUUAAAUCGGUUUUGAAUCCCACGGUGAUAAUGUAAAUGACCCUUCUUUGUCCUGCUCAGUUAUUCAUUUAGCCCUUUUCUGUGCUCCUGUCACCUCAAAGAAUGGGGGCACCUUGUCCCAGCACUGUGGAAGCCCUGAAGUUGACUCCUCAGCUCUGGGUGUUGACAUCUCCACAGCUUCACCCGCCAGAUCAAGGCUUUCUGCUUCCCAUCGCCUUUGGUGCUGUUUUCCUCAGAUUCCUGUGUCCUCCCUUUCUCUCUUUGUGCCUCCAUCACUCCCUUACUCUUCUCCAUCUUACUUUGAAUUGCUUUCCUUCCCUUUGAAGUCCCAGACCCCUACCCCUUCUCCUUAGUUUAGGAUAACAUAAAUACAUUCUUUUGCCUAACUGUC